rnacentral:rRNA from 1 species
AACGCGAAGAACCUUACCUGGGCUCGAACGACUAGUGGUAGCUCUUAUGAAAGUGAGAGCGACCCGCAAGGGAGCUAGCCGAGGUGCUGCAUGGUUGUCGUCAGCUCGUGUCGUGAGAUGUUGGGUUAAGUCCCGCAACGAGCGCAACCCCUAUCCUGUGUUGCUACCCGCAAGGGAGGACUCUCAGGAGACUGCCGCGGAUAACGUGGAGGAAGGUGGGGUCGACGUCAAAUCAUCAUGGCCUUUAUGUCCAGGGCUACACACGUGCUACAAUGGCAUAUACAACGGGAAGCAAGACCGCAAGGUGGAGCAAAUCCCUCAAAGUAUGCCUCAGUUCAGAUUGUGGGCUGCAAUUCGCCCACAUGAAGGCGGAAUCGCUAGUAAUCGCAGAUCAGCAGGCUGCGGUGAAUACGUUCCCGGGCCUUGUACACACCGGCUAC